UAGGGUGUAAAUUGCUUGUGCAUUCUUAACCCCGAAGUGCAUAACUUUGCAUUUCUCUACGUUAAAUUUCAUCUGCCAUUUUAGUGCCCAGUCCCCCAAUCUAUUCAAAUCCCUCUGCAGCAAAGCAAUAUCCUGCUCACAUUUUAUUACUUUACAAAGUUUUGUGUCAUCUGCAAACACUGAUACAUGACUUUCAAUGCCUAU